AGUGAAUGCUGGCGGUAGGCCUAGCACAUGCAAGUCGAACGGCAGCACAGUAAGAGCUUGCUCUUACGGGUGGCGAGUGGCGGACGGGUGAGGAAUACAUCGGAAUCUACUUUUUCGUGGGGGAUAACGUAGGGAAACUUACGCUAAUACCGCAUACGACCUACGGGUGAAAGCAGGGGAUCUUCGGACCUUGCGCGAUUGAAUGAGCCGAUGUCGGAUUAGCUAGUUGGCGGGGUAAAGGCCCACCAAGGCGACGAUCCGUAGCUGGUCUGAGAGGAUGAUCAGCCACACUGGAACUGAGACACGGUCCAGACUCCUACGGGAGGCAGCAGUGGGGAAUAUUGGACAAUGGGCGCAAGCCUGAUCCAGCCAUACCGCGUGGGUGAAGAAGGCCUUCGGGUUGUAAAGCCCUUUUGUUGGGAAAGAAAAGCAGCAGGUUAAUACCCCGCUGUUCUGACGGUACCCAAAGAAUAAGCACCGGCUAACUUCGUG
rnacentral:rRNA from 1 species